CAGUCAGCAACCCGAUUAGAAUUUCUACUGCAGUGAGCAAAAGAAAGGCCAGACAUAGUCUUCAAUUUGUGCUUGGCCCGGUCCACGAGGGGUUGCACUGACCAAUUUAAGGUAGAUGACGACAAUAGACUGUCCACCAUCAACCGACAAUCAAAUAAAAGAAGUAUUUCUUUUUCUAGGGAAUUGGGGAUUAGGUUUUCAGAGAUAAAAUUUAGGGUUUCAACCAAAGCGACGGCCUCCGCUUGUUCAGGCGAACUAACCUCGAUAUUCUUUGCAAACCCAUCGCGAAUUUUACCAAAGGAAUCUCUGCAGACGCAAGCAAUAGCCGCCCGAGGUCUUUUUCUUGGAUGCUGAGGACCAAAAGAAGAAGGUCUCGUCUGGUAGCCGAAGACAGCUUCAUUCGUCUCUGUGGAGUGAUUGUGGCCAAAUGCUAAAGAAAAAGCCUGCUGAUGGAUGAGAUCAGAUCUGGGAAGAGAGGCUUCUCUUUCUUCACCAGCACAGGUGCGUGGGUUGUUAAUAUCCUCUUCCCUUUCUUCGAACUCGCAAUGCCUUCCCUGGUGGGCGUCGGUGAUGAUGUUGAGUUGCUGCUGCUGAUUUGGGAGAUCAGAUCUGGUAGAUCUGAUGUUUCUUUCUUUGGUUUUAGGGGCCGAAAUCAUAGCUAUGUCAUUGCCAAUGCUGGAGCUGAGAGGAAGGUCUUCUACCUCUUCCGAACUGCAGAGCUUGCCACGGUGGGCAUUAUUUGUUGGUCUUGCGAUCUUCAAUGUUUCUGGAAUUAUAGAUCCGGUGAAACUGAGCCUCUGUUCGUCCGUUGCAAGGGU
rnacentral:lncRNA from 1 species